ACAUGUUGAUGAUCGCGGGAGGGGAAUAACAAUGGUAAAGCACGCCCUUUCCGUUUCCUUCUCAAACCCUCAUUGCCUUCUCCGUCUCAUAGACCCGCGACACAAACGGUCUCGCCUCCGUUCUAUCCUCCUCUCGCCGCCGUCUCCCUUCUCUCACCUCUGUUGUCUUACUCCUUUCUCUGUCUCUGGAAUCCUAUCGUCAUCUUCCUCACAUGCAAGGCUCCAGCCCUUUCAAUUGAAACCAAAACGUGUUUCAGGCGAAGACGAAGAACCCCAUCGAAGUCUCAGAGUACUCCGACUCUGAGCUCAUUCUCAGCUACAUCUCCGACCCGUUUGGGUUCGCCGUCAAGAGGAAGUUCGACUGGCAGGUCCUCUUCAAUUCGAGCUCCGAAUCCAAAGACCCAUAUGGUGAACUGGUGUUUAAGGGCCAGUACCUCGAGAUAUCCACCUGACUGCCGAAAGAAUCCUCCCUGUACGGCGUCGGAGAGAACUCUCAGCCGCACGGGAUCAAGUUCUACCCGAACGAUCCAUACACCCUCUUCACCACUGAUGUCUCGGCGAUCAAUCUCAACACUGAUUUGUACGGGUCCCACCCGGUUUACAUGGAUCUCCGGAAUGUGGGCAACGAGGCUUACGCGCACUCUGUUCUGCUGCUCAACAGCAAUGGCAUCGAUGUGUUCUACAGAGGGACUUCUCUCACCUACAAGGUCAUUGGGGGUGUUUUCGACUUUUACUUCUUUGCCGGGCCGACACCGUUGGGCGUUGUCAACCAGUACACGGCGUUCAUCGGCAGACCGGCCCCGAUGCCCUACUGGUCUCUUGGUGCAAAACGAGGAGGGAAUCAUCACCGAACUCUACAUCUUGGGAAAAUGUUCGGAGACGAACAAAUGAUCACCAAGAAGGUGUGAUAAAGGAUGGAGGGAAUGAAGUAUUGUUUAAUGACCAAAUCAUGAAGCGGAGGACAACAUGGAGUGGUUCUGAUUCUCAUACCCUGCCACAUGCUCAAACACAUCAGACUCAGAGUAAUUGAGAGCUAAUUGUACAAUAUUUAUGAUUUAGGGCUUGCAUUCAUUAGAAUGGAAACACAUUCUAAAUUAGGAAUAUCAUAACAUUGUCUUACGAAAAUGAGGGAAACUGAAAGUAUAUAAAUUAUGAAGUGCAGAACUUCAAAAUGAGGGGCAAAAAUUUUGUGUAUGCUAAAGAUAGCAUACUGCAUAAACCUCAGUUUUAAAUGUGACAACAUGAUAAUGCAUUUCAGUGCAUAUAAAUGUAGUUCCACAAAUUAGGCUCUAUCUGAAUGCAAUUGGUUUCUCUGCUAGAUUGCCAUGGAUGAAGUAUGAUGUUUUAUUUACCGCAUCUAAUGAUCUUAUGGAUUGCAGGAAGAAGUUAUCAAGUUAAAUGAACAAUUUAACCAUUUGAAAAGUUUGGUAAUCUCUUAUGCCUUGGUUUAUGUUCAAGCUUGAGCUUCUUAGUUGGCCGUCAAUCACUAUAUUUUCAUUCAUUUAUUUGGGAUGUGGUGGCACUGUUGAUGCCAUUGCUAUCAAAUCCAGGAUUUUUCAUCUCAGAUUUCACUUUUGACAGUUGCAAAUUGGUGCUUUACUUAACUUUUUUUCCCCUUAAUUUCGUAAAGUUUAGGCCUUUUCUUAAUAUUUAAAUAAAAAGGAAUAUCUUUCUGGUAUUGGUUAGUUUUGAUCUUGAUAUUAUCUGGGUUUGGUGUUAGUGGGGAUGGCGGUGUCGUGCAAAGUUAGCCGUUUGUGGCUCACCGGAAAACCCCCUGAUUGGGCUUUAUUAGGAGGGAACUCAUAAUGUAGUAGAUAUUCCUCAAUGCAAAGCUCAUCCUCCAAGUAUAAAUGCUGCUGUGGAGCUGCAUAAACAAGGUCCCUUUUCGGUUAUUAAAACUCAAUGUUGCUUUCAUUUCCAGUUUUUGAGUCUUCUAUUUGUUUGGUUGCUGCAAUUAUUCAACUUAUGCUGCUAUAAUAUUUGUUUCCUUCUGUUUUGUCCUCUGCAUUAACUACCAUUUGGAUCAUGUGAAUGAAAACUUUCAUGUAUAUUUCGAAUAAUGAGCAGUUUAUUGCUGUUAAUCUUUUGAUCACUGUAUAUGUUGCUAAUUUACCUUCUCAAACAACGUACAUGUAAACAUUGAUAUAUAAAACUUAUUUACAUGUUAAUAGUAUGGUUUCUUUACUUUUGAGUUUGGUUGAACAACAACAUUUUCUACUUUCUAGAGUUCAUCCUCUUUAUUUUAGCCCAGGCCAACUCACUCCACUCUGUUCGAAGCUCUUCAACUUUUUUGCACAAAUUGCUCAAAAAUUCCUGCUCUCAAACAUCUUAGAUCCCUCACUCACCCUUCUGGCAUCGACGCCCCAAAGAUGUUACAGUCACAACUACAAAUACAAGUUGAGAGGAAGAUCAUAUUCCUUUUGUGGUGCAGCUGGAGUUUGUUAUCGUAUGCGGUGCUUUUCGUUGUAUGGCCAUAUGAAGCUGCAGAUGCAAAUAUUUCUUAUGGUAGUCUUCUUCACUAUGAAUAGAUUCAUAAACGCAUACUUAUUCACGCUUGCAUACAGACUUUGGGGUUGCUAAGAUUUUCCUUUGGGUUUCAUAGCCCUUGCGCCACUUGGAAGGACUGCUGGUAGAGCUCAUAGCAAUUGAUGUAAGUCCCUUACUUCCGUAAUAGGGUACUUGGGAGUGACUGCUGGUAGAGCUCAUUGCAAUUGUUGCACUCAUUGCAUUAAACAAAGGAUCCCAAUUAAUCAAGUAUAGCCUGAAAGGGAAGCCAAAACUUCGUCCAUUCAGAAUUUCUACUCACUCAAUGUCAGAUUUUGAGAUCAACGGAUCAGCUCACUGCUGCGGUCGAUGUUGGGGAAGGUGAUGCGAUGUUAGAAAUUAGGCUGCGAACAGGUUCUUUGAUCAAUGUUCUUAUUAAUGCUGGUGCAUUUGUGCUCGCAAUCAAAAAGGAUCCACACAUGGCUACUCAUGUGAGUGAGAGAUUUGCGGAGACUGACCGGUUCAAGAACAUGAAUUGCCAAGGGUCAACACUUGAGAAGGUGAUUUGGGUGGAGGUCGUAAAGAUGGGCAUUUUGGUUGUCAAAACGAGGUUGUUUAUGUUGUUUUGAUAGGUUUGAUCAUGUAUAGAAGCAUUUGAUAGUGAAUACAUGCAGAGUGCUUGACAAUUGAAAAGAAGUGUCGAGAUUUUUGUUGAUCCCCUUAUGUUGUGAUGCCAAUUUACGGUACUUAUCAAGUAAAUUGGUUGACUAAAAUGCUACCAGCACCUAAACCUCCAACAAAAUGGAAACUUUUGCCAAAACAAAAGGAGCAGCCUCGCCCAUGAGCGGCCACUUGGUGCGAUGGCAAGUGCCUUCACCCAUGAGCGGUAGGUCUCGGGUUCGAGACUUGGGAGCAGCCUCUUCAUAAAUGGGGGUAAGGCUAGCCGACAUUCACCUCUCCCAGACCCUGCAUAAAGCGGGAGCCUUGUGCACUGGGUACGACCUUUUUUUGUGCUUAGGAGGAGGCUAUAUGAAACUGCUUAAUUUUUUUUUAAACAUGGAACUUUUUUUUCACUGUAAUCUGUUUUGUUAAACGUAAUGAUAAAGAUUUAUCAAUUUUGUUUGUUUGGGAGGUUUAUGAUCAGAACCCUGAUGAGACCUUCAAUGUGAAAGGCUUCUGGUUUCAUAAGUCACAACAAAACUGAAUACCAAAUGAAUAAAAAUCUGGCCAUAAAUGCACCACUUCUUUA